AACGAACGCUGGCGGCAUGCCUAACACAUGCAAGUCGAACGAAGGCUUCGGCCUUAGUGGCGCACGGGUGCGUAACGCGUGGGAAUCUGCCCUUAGGUUCGGAAUAACAGUUAGAAAUGACUGCUAAUACCGGAUGAUGACGUAAGUCCAAAGAUUUAUCGCCUGAGGAUGAGCCCGCGUAGGAUUAGCUAGUUGGUGUGGUAAAGGCGCACCAAGGCGACGAUCCUUAGCUGGUCUGAGAGGGUGAUCAGCCACACUGGGACUGAGACACGGCCCAGACUCCUACGGGAGGCAGCAGUGGGGAAUAUUGGACAAUGGGCGCAAGCCUGAUCCAGCAAUACCGCGUGAAUGAUGAAGAGCUUAGGGUUGUAAAGCUCUUUUACCCGUGAUGAUAAUGACAGUGGCGGGAGAAUAAGCCCCGGCUAACUCCGUG
rnacentral:rRNA from 1 species